rnacentral:misc_RNA from 1 species
AAAAUUCCUAAAUAAUAAAAAGACAACUUCCAAUAUUUCUUCCUAAAAUAAGUAGCCCUAAAAUUUCUAGAAAAUCCUACAUCAUUCCCAUGGUUGAAAAGAACUAAACUCUGGAGAGUUGAAUUGCAAAUGACAUUCCAAGAGAGAAGGAUCUAAAGUUUUAAAUUCCUCUUCAGUAAUCCAAGUAGCAUUGAAAUCAGAAUGACUCUGCCACUUGACGAGAAAUAUUCAAAAAAAACCUUGAGAGGAAGUAACAAACUCAUUAUUUAGCACAUUUUCAGUGGAAUCUCUUUGUUAGGUAAGAGAUGAUGACUUUGGCACAUGUUGACUUGCAAAAACACUAGAAGGCAACUUCGGCAGCUAAAAAGUGUCUCGAUAAGGUGAGAAACUCUCUACAUUGAAAACAGGACUAAUAUUCAUAUGAUUAGGCAAGUAAAUGAAUAUGCAUUUGUCGCAUUGAUCCUAAUUCCAUGGUUUCUCCUUUGAGAAAGGGAAGAAUUGAGAUGAGGAAAUAGAAGAAUUAGCAGAGAAAAGAAAGAAGAAGAUGAGAAGAGAAUUUUAGGUAGAGAAUUCAAGAAAGAAUCUGAA